AUGCCCAUCACCCCACAUUGUGCACUAGUGGUCCCAAAAGAUUCAAAGUCCAAGAUAGCAACCCUUCAAGACGAGCUGAUUGUGAAUCUUCUUAAGGAAGAACAGAUUCCCCAGAAUAAAAUUACAGUUGUUAUGGUUGGUGCUGUAGGCAGAUGAGCUUGCCUUUGUUGAUGUCAUGGAAGACAUGCUGAUGGGAAAGAUGAUGGAUCUCCAGUGUGGCAGCCUUUUUCUUAGAACAACAAAAUUGUCUCCAGCAAAGACUACUAUGUGACUGCAAACUCCAAGCUGGUCAUUCACAGCAGGGGCCCGUCAGCAAGAGGAAGAGAGCCGGCUCAAUUUGGUCCAGCGAAACCGGAACAUCUUCAAGUUCAUCAUUCCCAACAUUGUGAAGUACAGUCCACACUGCAAGCUGCUUAUUGUCUCAAAUUCCGUGGCUAUCUUGACCUACGUGGCUUGGAAAAAUCAGUAACUUUCCCAAUAGCCGAGUUAUUGGAAGUGGUUGUCAUCUGGAUUCAGCUCGGUUCCGUUACCUGAUGGGAGAAAGGCUGGGAGCUCACCCGCUGAGCUGUCACGGGUGGGUCCUGGGAGAGCAUGGCGACUCCAGUGUGCCUGUGUGGAGCGGUGUGAACGUUGCCGGUAUCUCUCUGAAGACUCUGAACCCAGAACUGGGCACUGAUGCAGAUAAGGAGCAGUGGAAGGAUUGCAGAUCCUCUCUGGGGAAUCCAGAAGCUUCACUGUCCAGGCUGCAGCAGGGUUUCUAUGGAGACCACACACUGUCUCCUUCUCAUCUGAGCCGUGGUUAG